GAAAAUAAAUGCAAAUAACACUUAUGAACUGCUGUACUGUAUGAGUGGACUCUUUGUCGUUUAUUUUGAGUCCAUG
rnacentral:sRNA from 1 species